CCUACGGGAGGCAGCAGUGAGGAAUAUUGGUCAAUGGGCGCGAGCCUGAACCAGCCAAGUCGCGUGAGGGAAGACGGUCCUAUGGAUUGUAAACCUCUUUUGUCGGGGAGCAAAAGACGCCACGCGUGGCGUUCCGCGAGUACCCGACGAACAAGCAUCGGCUAACUCCGUGCCAGCAGCCGCGGUACUACGGAGGAUGCGAGCGUUCUCCGGAUUUAUUGGGUUUAAAGGGUGCGCAGGCGGAAGAUCAAGUCAGCGGUAAAAGUGAGAGGCUCAACCUCUUCGAGCCGUUGAAACUGGUGUGCUUGAGUGAGUGAGAAGUAGGCGGAAUGCGUGGUGUAGCGGUGAAAGGCAUAGAGAUCACGCAGAACUCCGAGUGCGAAGGCAGCAUACCGGCGCUCAACUGACGCUCAUGCACGAAAGUGUGGGUAUCGAACAGGAUUAGAUACCCCAGUAGUC
rnacentral:rRNA from 1 species